rnacentral:tRNA from 1 species
GGAGAGAUGUCCGAGUGGUUUAAGGAGCGCGCCUGGAAAGUGCGUAAACCCCAAAAGGGUUUCGAGGGUUCGAAUCCCUCUCUCUCCG